rnacentral:misc_RNA from 1 species
GGGAGCGAGUGGGAUUAGAUACCCCUGUAGUCCUAGCCGUAACCGAUAGAUACUAGGUGUGGCUUGUAUCGACCCGAGCCGUGCCGUAGCUAACGCGUUAAGUAUACCGCCUGGGGAGUACGCGCGCAAGCGUAAACUCAAAGGAAUUGACGGGGGCCCGCACAAGCGGUGGAGUAUGUGGUUUAAUUCGAUGCAACGCGAAGAACCUUACCAGGGCUUGACAUGUCUGGAAUCUGCUGAAAGAGGAGAGUGCCUUCGGGAACCAGAACACAGGUGGUGCAUGGCUGUCGUCCGCUCGUGUCGUGAGAUGUUGGGUUAAGUCCCGCAACGAGCGCAACCCUCCUCUUUAUUUGCCAGCAUUAAUUUGGGCACUCUAGAGAGACUGCCGGUGACAACCCGGAGGAAGGUGGGGAUGACGUCAAGUCAGCAUGCCCCUCCCGUCCUGGGCGACACACCUACUACAAUGCGACGGACAAAGGGCAGCCAACCAGCGAUGGUGCGCUAAUCCCAUAAACCGUGGCUCAGUUCAGAUCGCAGGCUGCAACUCGCCUGCGUGAAGGAGGAAUCGCUAGUAAUUGCAGGUCAGCAUACUGCAGUGAAU